GACGAACGCUGGCGGCGUGCUUAACACAUGCAAGUCGAACGAUGAAGCGGUGCUUGCACCGUGGAUUAGUGGCGAACGGGUGAGUAACACGUGAGUAACCUGCCCUGGACUCUGGGAUAACCCCGAGAAAUCGGAGCUAAUACCGGAUAUGACUUCGCACCGCAUGGGGUGGGGUGGAAAGGUUUUGCGGUCUGGGAUGGACUCGAGGCCUAUCAGCUUGUUGGUGAGGUAAUGGCUCACCAAGGCGUCGACGGGUAGCCGGCCUGAGAGGGUGACCGGCCACACUGGGACUGAGACACGGCCCAGACUCCUACGGGAGGCAGCAGUGGGGAAUAUUGCACAAUGGGCGCAAGCCUGAUGCAGCAACGCCGCGUGAGGGAUGACGGCCUUCGGGUUGUAAACCUCUUUUAGUAAGGAAGAAGGGGAGCUUGCUCCUUGACGGUACUUGCAGAAAAAGGACCGGCUAACUACGUGCCAGCCGCCGCAGUAAGAC
rnacentral:rRNA from 1 species